rnacentral:rRNA from 1 species
UACGUAGGGGGCGAGCGUUAUCCGGAAUUAUUGGGCGUAAAGGGUUCGCAGGUGGUCCUUUAAGUCAGGUGUGAAAGGCAGUGGCUCAACCAUUGCAAGCACUUGAAACUGAAGGACUUGAGUACAGGAGAGGAAAGCGGAAUUCCUAGUGUAGCGGUGAAAUGCGUAGAUAUUAGGAGGAACACCAGUGGCGAAGGCGGCUUUCUGGACUGAAACUGACACUGAGGAACGAAAGCGUGGGGAGCAAACAGG